AGGAGUAGCUAUGAAAACUCAUUUGCAUGACUAACCCCUCUUCUGAGAGGUCCCUGGAGAUGAGAUACUGAGACAGCCCAGACAGAAGGCCCAGGUCUAAGGAGAAGCUGUGCUGUGCCUACCAUGGCUUGGACUCCUCUCAUAUUCAUGAUUCUAUCUUACUGUACAGGUUCCUUUUCUCAGUCUAUACUGACACAACCACCCUCCAUCUCUGAGGCUCUUGAUUCAAUAGCCAGACUCACCUGUACUCUGAGGAGUGGCAUCAGUGUUGCUGGUAAAAACAUUUACUGGUACAAGCAGAUGCAGGGGAGCUCUCCUUGGUUUUUCCUGCGCUACUACUCAGACUCAAACAUGCAGCUGGGGCCUGGAGUCACCAAUAGAAUCUCUGGAUCCAAAGAUACCUCCCAAAAUGCUGCACAUUUGCACAUCUCUGAGCUACAAGCAGAGGAUGAGGCUGACUAUUACUGUGUCAUCUCGGAAAGUAAUGUUUCUCACAGUGAUAUAGGCAGAUGGGGAAGUAAGGCAUACAUUCUAGCUUGUGAUAAAAAAUCAGGGAAGAAAAAAAAAAAAAGAAACCCAGCUGUGGCCAGAAGACAGUAGGAGAAAAAAAGGGUGGCACUGAACUCAGAAGAAAGGCUUUUAAUGUGGAAGGAGUAACGAUGAGGGCAAAUGUAAUAUGACUCAAAAGUAUUUCUUGAACAUACAAGUGGCAGUUGAGUAGAAAUCUGUCAUGUUGGAUAAUAGGGGCUGUGAGGGUUCAUUUUCAUUGUCAAGUUAACCAAGUUUGGAAUCACCUAUGAGAUACAGUUUGGGGCAUAUCUGUAAGGACAUUUCCAGAGAAGUUGAACUGAGACCAGCUCUGAAAUUGGGUGGCACUAUCCUAUGGCCUAAGGUCCAAGGAUAAUUAAAAAGGAAAAAAGGAGAAAGCAGCUGGGUGUUAGCAUUCAUCUACCCUUGCUUCUUGACUGUGGGAGCAAUAUGACCAACUUUGUUAAAUUCCUGCCAUAUUGGGUUGAUUAUA